CUGGGAGGGAGCUGCUGAGGAGCCAGAGCUCAGGCACAGGGAGAUGAUGGGGUCUCAGGCUCAGCUGUUCUGCCUCCUGCUUCUCUGCAUCCCAGGUUCCAGAGGGGCCAUUGGGGUGACCCAGUCUCCAGCCUCCCUGGCUGUGUCUCCAGGAGAGACGGUCACUCUGUACUGCAGGGCCAGUCAGAGUGUUAGUAAUUACAUGAGCUGGUACCAACAGCGCCCAGGCCAGGUUCCCAGGCCCCUCAUUUACUAUGCUUCCAGCCUGCAGCCUGGGGUCCCUGCCCGGUUCAGUGGCAGUGGCUCUGGGACAGAUUUCUCUCUUACCAUCAGUGCUGUGGAACCAGAGGACUUCGCAGACUAUUACUGUCUACAGUGGGGUAGCUCACCUCUCACAGUGAUUCAGCUCUGAACAAAAACCUGCCCAGGCAGCUGCUGAGGGAGCCCCCACUGUCCCAGGGGAUCCUCCUUCCCCUACAGCUGGGGCAGCUUGUCUGGGCUGCCUGUGAGGGCAGUUUGUAGGUCUCAUAGGAGGCUGCUGGGACUGGGAUGGGUGCUGAGCCUGGUCUCUUCCUGUGAGAGAGACAAAUCCAGAGACUUUUGAACAUGGAAAAGCCUGGAGAAAAUAUAAAGAUUCCAUGAGCAGCAGGAAGCAUCUGGAAUCUUGGGAAAGC